AGCUUGUCAAUUAUGUUUCUUAUUAAAAAUGUCCAAACAUAUGAACUCUGUAGUGAUUUCAGUGCAUUACUGAGAGAAGCU